GUGUGGUUCAGACACCAUUGCCUGCUGUGCUGUUCCAGUUCAAAUCCUAGGCAUGCUGGAGACAAUUACAGAGGUGAGAGACCCGGUUCCGUUUCCGUGUACCACAAUGGAGGAAGUGGACCUUUUUGAGCAACGGCUCAAAGAUCCCGUCAACAUUCUAAUGAGUGACGACAUGAUGCCAAACGUGGAACAUCCUCGAAUGAAUGGAAAAAAAUUAUUCUGUCAAAUGACAUCUAAGACUUUGCUCCUGCAUGCCGUCAGAAAGAAUCAUGCCACACAUGCAUCCACUGAUGAACAGAUUCUAAAGCAUGCCAUUAGGUGGUUCAACCUGGCAGCAAACCGGGGUAGCUCCAGGAGGCGUGCUACUGUCGA